UUUUUCCCCCCCCGAGGUUCCCCUUCNCGAGAUACUGCCUCGAGGGGGACGGGAGGGAGCUUGCUUUCCUUGCCGGCGACCGGCGCACGGGUGACCAUCUUGUAUGCAACCUGCCCUCUUCAGGGGGACAACCUUCCCCAUGGGAGGCUAAUCCCGCGUAUAUCGGUUCUGGGCAUCCGAGAUCGAGGAAAGAUUCAUCGGAAGAGGAUGGGCAUGCGGCGCAUUAGCUUGACGGCGGGGUAACGGCCCACCGUGGCGACGAUGCGUAGGGGUUCUGAGAGGAAGGUCCCCCACACUGGUACUGAGACACGGACCAGACUCCUACGGGAGGCAGCAGUGAGGAAUAUUGGUCAAUGGGAGAGAUCCUGAACCAGCCAAGCCGCGUGAGGGAAGACGGCCCUAUGGGUUGUAAACCUCUUUUGUCGGAGAACAAAACCCGGGACGUGUCCCGGACUGCGUGUAUCCGAAGAAAAAGCAUCGGCUAACUCCGUGCCAGCAGCCGCGGUAAUACGGAGGAUGCGAGCGUUAUCCGGAUUUAUUGGGUUUAAAGGGUGCGUAGGCGGUCCGUUAAGUCAGCGGUAAAAUUGCGGGGCUCAACCCCGUCGAGCCGUUGAAACUGGCAUACUUGAGUUGGCGAGAACUACGCGGAAUGCGCGGUGUACCGGUGAAAUGCAUACAUAUCGUGCACAACUCCGAUUGCGAAGGCUUCGCAUCGGCGCCAGACUGACGCUGAGGCACGAAUGCGUGUGG
rnacentral:rRNA from 1 species